UACGUAGGGUGCGAGCGUUAAUCGGAAUUACUGGGCGUAAAGCGUGCGCAGGCGGUUCGCCAAGUCAGGUGUGAAAUCCCCGGGCUUAACCUGGGAAUUGCGCUUGAAACUAGCGGGCUUGAGUGUGGCAGAGGGGGGUGGAAUUCCACGUGUAGCAGUGAAAUGCGUAGAGAUGUGGAGGAACACCGAUGGCGAAGGCAGCCCCCUGGGUCAACACUGACGCUCAUGCACGGAAGCGUGGGGAGCAAACAGG
rnacentral:rRNA from 1 species